rnacentral:lncRNA from 1 species
GCUGAAUGAAUAAACUAAAGAAAAUAUGCCGUGCCUAACGGGGUCAUAUGUGAUUUCUAUGGCCAAGCUGUGCAGGGGUCUGUGAAGAUAACACGAGAUGUGGCCUGAGCAAGCUGAUCACCAAAAUGGACAUCGCUCCACAAUACAGUGAAAGUAUGCUUUAUGUGCCUGAGAAAUUCUUAUAAAUCAUCUGAAAUUAGCCACGAAGGAGCUCACAAAGACCAAAAUGCCUGAGGCCUGUGGAAGUCACAGUCUGUCCCUACGGAGCGGAUCAGGCACAGGACAUGUCCCUGGAUCAAAUGACACUCGUGGUCGGCCACCUCCCAGGUCCCAUUGCUCAGACGUGUAGCAGUGACAGUGAACAGGUGAGAUAGGGAGUGCGUUUAGAUCCCUCCGGCAGAGCGGACAGACUGAGCACUCCUUUCCUGGUGCUGGCAUUUGGCGUGAAAAUCCCGAAGAGAGAAACACAAACAAGAAGCAGGGUAUCCUAGUGGAUUAAAGAGAACUCCGCUUCGCAAGAGGACUUAGCAUCCCUCCCAGCACAGAUUUACAGUCCCGGGUCAGGAUGAGCCACAGUGGGCUUUACUCUCCAUAACCUGAUG